rnacentral:rRNA from 1 species
UACGGAGGGUGCAAGCGUUAUCCGGAUUUACUGGGUCUAAAGGGUGUGUAGGCGGGCCUUUAAGUCUGGGGUGAAAUCUCCGAGCUCAACUCGGAAACUGCCCUGGAUACUAUUGGUCUUGAAUUAUGUUGAGGUUGGCGGAAUAUAACAUGUAGCGGUGAAAUGCAUAGAUAUGUUAUAGAACACCGAUUGCGAAGGCAGCUAACUAAGCAUAUAUUGACGCUGAGGCACGAAAGCGUGGGGAUCAAACAGG